GGAGAAUAACGCGUGGAUGGAGAAUAACGCGUGACUGGAGGAACAAUUGAAAAAUGGAUAAGAUAAUAAAACAAAAAAAAUGAUCAAAUUAUGAAGCUGCAGGCCCAGUUAUUGGAACAACACAAAAUAUUAGAUAACAACAAAGCUAAGGAUCGUAGGCCUAAUACGUAAUGAUUCUAUUUAUUUGCUUUUAUUCAUUCGUGUUGUGUAGCUCAAAUUUUGAGUCUACAAGCUCAGCUAGGGGAAAAGAACAAAUUGGAACGAAACAGUUUCCAAACAGUGAAGGAGGUUUUUCAAAACUCAUCCCUAACUGAACGUGAGGAUGAGUUGGCAUUAGGCGAACAUAGCCAGUUAUUCAGUCCACUACCUGACAGUGUGUUAACGUUAAAUUCUGUUAGUGCUGCACUAAAAGAAUUGUUAGUAAUAAGCCCAUGCAGUGAAGGAACUGAACAAUUGUGGGACCGUAUUUGGGCCAAAAAUGGGUGUGGUACAGAAACCCAGAAAUGGCACAAGUUCAACAUUAAACAUGGAUUAGAAUAUUAGCAGGGGAUCAAGUAAAGUCUGGAAGUGUUACAGGAUGGAAGAGUGAGCCUACAAUUGAAAAACACUGAAAGUGCAUUACCAUUAAGGUAUGAGGUAAAGUAAUAG